AACGAACGCUGGCGGCAUGCCUAACACAUGCAAGUCGAACGAGACCUUCGGGUCUAGUGGCGCACGGGUGCGUAACGCGUGGGAACCUGCCCUUAGGUUCGGAAUAACUCCCCGACAGGGGUACUAAUACCGGAUAAUGUCUUCGGCCCAAAGAUUUAUCGAAUUUGGUUGGGCCGGCGUUGGAUUAGCUAGUUGGUAGGGUAAAAGCCUACUAAGGCGACGAUCCAUAGCUGGUCUGAGAGGAUGAUCAGCCACACUGGGAUUGAGACACGGCCCAGACUCCUACGGGAGGCAGCAGUGGGUAAUAUUGGACAGUGGGCUAAAGCCUGAUCCAGCAAUGCCGCGUGAGUGAUGAAGGCCUUAGGGUUGUAAAGCUCUUGUACCCGGGAUGAUAAUGACGGUACCUGGAGAAAAAGCUACGGCUAACUCCGUG
rnacentral:rRNA from 1 species